UGCGUCCAGUGUAACCCACGGGCCUUUGCCUCGAAGCGACGAGUGUUAAGUCUACGUUCCUCGAACCUUUGCCACGUGUAUCACGGACUCCACUGACGACGACCAUCAGGCCAGGCGCAUGCAGCUGACGGCAAUCGGAGAACCGAGUGUUCCAUUGUGUCCCACAAUGGCUCCACAGAGUCCUUCAGGCGAAAAAUGCAACGGCCAAUGGGGUACCUGAAACCUGAACAUCAGCGCGUUUCCUCGAUGUCCCUACCACUCUCUGCCAGUCGAAGCACGCCGAAGAACUCCCAAGCACACACAAAAAAAUGUCACGCCAGAAGACGACGGAGCUUGGGAUCUGAUGAAGCCAGAAUUCGAUGCAGCACUCCAGCAGUUCUCUGUGAAUGGGCAUCCAUGAUCUCGUGGCGCUGCCGCCAUCGGGGGCCUGUAGUCUAUAAAUAGAAUUACUGCAAUCCCA